CCUCCCUCCCCUAACAGAUCAGCUAUGUAGACUCUAGCUGACUAAGGCGCUUCUCUUUCUAAAAAGAGCGCUUUACUUAGCCAGUGUAGACAUGGCCUGAUGAACAUUGGAACUACUUC
rnacentral:pre_miRNA from 12 species